rnacentral:rRNA from 1 species
UACGUAGGUGGCAAGCGUUGUCCGGAUUUAUUGGGUUUAAAGGGUGCGUAGGCGGUUUCAUAAGUCAGUGGUGAAAUACGGCAGCUCAACUGUCGAGGUGCCAUUGAUACUGUGAGACUUGAGUACAGACGAGGUAGGCGGAAUUGACGGUGUAGCGGUGAAAUGCUUAGAUAUGACUUAGAACACCAAUUGCGAAGGCAGCUUACUAAACAAUGAUUGACGCUGAGGCACGAAAGCGUGGGGAUCAAACAGG